ACAAAAUUGCAAACUCCUAAAAAUUGUGAACGCUACCUAAACCGUUGCUUCGGCGGGCGGCCCCGGGGUUCUCCCCGGGCGCCCCUGGGCCCCAUCGCGGGCGCCCGCCGGAGGUCACCAAACUCUUGAUAAUUUAUGGCCUCUCUGAGUCUUCUGUACUGAAUAAGUCAAAACUUUCAACAACGGAUCUCUUGGUUCUGGCAUCGAUGAAGAACGCAGCGAAAUGCGAUAAGUAAUGUGAAUUGCAGAAUUCAGUGAAUCAUCGAAUCUUUGAACGCACAUUGCGCCCGCCAGUAUUCUGGCGGGCAUGCCUGUUCGAGCGUCAUUUCAACCAUCAAGCCCCCGGCUUGUGUUGGGGACCUGCGGCUGCCGCAGGCCACGAAAAGCAGUGGCGGGCUCGCUGUCACACCGAGCGUAGUAGCAUACAUCUCGCUCUGGGCGUGCUGCGGGUUCCGGCCGUUAAACCACCUUCAUAACCCAAGGUUGACCUCGGAUCAGGUAGGAAGACCCGCUGAACUUAAGCAUAUCAAUAAGCGGAGGAACG
rnacentral:rRNA from 1 species